rnacentral:rRNA from 1 species
UACGGAGGGGGCUAGCGUUAUUCGGAAUUACUGGGCGUAAAGCGCACGUAGGCGGAUUGGAAAGUUGGAGGUGAAAUCCCAGGGCUCAACCUUGGAACUGCCUUCAAAACUCCCAGUCUUGAGGUCGAGAGAGGUGAGUGGAAUUCCGAGUGUAGAGGUGAAAUUCGUAGAUAUUCGGAGGAACACCAGAGGCGAAGGCGGCUCACUGGCUCGAUACUGACGCUGAGGUGCGAAAGCGUGGGGAGCAAACAGG